rnacentral:rRNA from 1 species
UGGGGAAUAUUGGACAAUGGGCGAAAGCCUGAUCCAGCCAUGCCGCGUGUGUGAAGAAGGUCUUCGGAUUGUAAAGCACUUUAAGUUGGGAGGAAGGGCAGUAAGCGAAUACCUUGCUGUUUUGACGUUACCGACAGAAUAAGCACCGGCUAACUCUGUGCCAGCAGCCGCGGUAAUACAGAGGGUGCAAGCGUUAAUCGGAAUUACUGGGCGUAAAGCGCGCGUAGGUGGUUCGUUAAGUUGAAUGUGAAAGCCCCGGGCUCAACCUGGGAACUGCAUCCAAAACUGGCGAGAUAGAGUAGGGCAGAGGGUGGUGGAAUUUCCUGUGUAGGGAUGAAAUGCGUAGAUAUAGAAAGGAACACCAGUGGCGAAGGCGACCACCUGGGCUCAUACUGACACUGAGGUGCGAAAGCGUGGGGAGCAAACAGG